AGCAGUUUAAAAAAAAAAAGGAGUUCAUAUGCAUGUAUUACUGCGGGUAUAAAAGGAGCUUGUCUCUAUUACUGCGUGCCAAUUACUGC